rnacentral:rRNA from 1 species
UGGGGAAUUUUGGACAAUGGGCGCAAGCCUGAUCCAGCCAUGCCGCGUGCGGGAAGAAGGCCUUCGGGCUGUAAACCGCUUUUGUCAGGGAAGAAAUCUUCUGAGUUAAUACCUCGGGAGGAUGACGGUACCUGAAGAAUAAGCACCGGCUAACUACGUGCCAGCAGCCGCGGUAAUACGUAGGGUGCAAGCGUUAAUCGGAAUUACUGGGCGUAAAGCGUGCGCAGGCGGUUUUGUAAGACAGAGGUGAAAUCCCCGGGCUCAACCUGGGAACUGCCUUUGUGACUGCAAGGCUUGAGUGCGGCAGAGGGGGGAAUGGAAUUCCGCGUGUAGCAGUGAAAUGCGUAGAUAUGCGGAGGAACACCGAUGGCGAAGGCAAAUCCCCCUGGGCCUGCACUGACGCUCAUGCACGAAAAGCGUGGGGAGCAAAACAGGAUUAGAUACCCUGGUAGUCCACGCCCUAAAACGAUGUC